rnacentral:ncRNA from 2 species
GCGUUUUCUGGGCGCGAUGGUGUCCGGGCUUUGGUCCGGCUGAAAAGGGAAUGUGGUGCGGGGGAAACCCCUAUGCCACGGCUGCCCCCGCAACUGUAAGCGGCGAGCGGUUCGGAUGAUCCACUGGUGCAACCGCGCCGGGAAGGGCCGAAACCGCAGUGACCCGCGAGCCAGGAGACCUGCCAUCCGAACUGCAAUUUC